AACGAACGCUGGCGGCGUGCCUAAUACAUGCAAGUCGAGCGGAAGUUGGAGAGCUUGCUCUUCAACUUUAGCGGCGGACGGGUGAGUAACACGUGGGCAACCUGCCCUGCAGUUCGGGAUAACUCCGGGAAACCGGUGCUAAUACCGAAUAGUUUUCACCACCUCCUGGUGGCGUAGGGAAAGACGGUUUCGGCUGUCACUGCAGGAUGGGCCCGCGGCGCAGUAGCUACUUGGUGGGGUAACGGCCCACCAAGGCAACGAUGCGUAGGCGACCUGAGAGGGUGAUCGGCGACAGUGGGACUGAGACACGGCCCAGACUCCUACGGGAGGCAGCAGUAGGGAAUCUUCCGCAAUGGACGAAAGUCUGACGGAGCAACGCCGCGUGAGUGACGAAGGUUUUCGGAUCGUAAAACUCUGUUGUGAGGGAAGAACAAGUACCACUUAACUACUGGUACCUUGACGGUACCUCACCAGAAAGCCACGGCUAACUACGUGCCAGCCGCCGCGGUAACAC
rnacentral:rRNA from 1 species